rnacentral:rRNA from 1 species
AGAGUUUGAUCAUGGCUCAGAUUGAACGCUGGCGGCAUGCCUUACACAUGCAAGUCGAACGGCAGCACGGGAGCAAUCCUGGUGGCGAGUGGCGAACGGGUGAGUAAUAUAUCGGAACGUGCCCAGUCGUGGGGGAUAACGCAGCGAAAGCUGUGCUAAUACCGCAUACGAUCUAUGGAUGAAAGCGGGGGACUCGCAAGGGCCUCGCGCGAUUGGAGCGGCCGAUAUCAGAUUAGGUAGUUGGUGGGGUAAAGGCUCACCAAGCCGACGAUCUGUAGCUGGUCUGAGAGGACGACCAGCCACACUGGAACUGAGACACGGUCCAGACUCCUACGGGAGGCAGCAGUGGGGAAUUUUGGACAAUGGGCGCAAGCCUGAUCCAGCAAUGCCGCGUGCAGGAUGAAGGCCUUCGGGUUGUAAACUGCUUUUGUACGGAACGAAAAGGCUCUGGAUAAUACCUGGGGUCCAUGACGGUACCGUAAGAAUAAGCACCGGCUAACUACGUGCCAGCAGCCGCGGUAAUACGUAGGGUGCGAGCGUUAAUCGGAAUUACUGGGCGUAAAGCGUGCGCAGGCGGUAAUGCAAGACAGAUGUGAAAUCCCCGGGCUUAACCUGGGAACUGCAUUUGUGACUGCAUUGCUGGAGUGCGGCAGAGGGGGAUGGAAUUCCGCGUGUAGCAGUGAAAUGCGUAGAUAUGCGG